UGUCGGGUAAGUUCCGACCCGCACGAAAGGCGUAACGAUUUGGGCACUGUCUCAACAACAGACUCGGUGAAAUUGUAAUUCCGGUGAAGAUGCCGGAUACCUGCGACAGGACGGAAAGACCCCAUGGAGCUUUACUGUAGCUUGACAUUGGGUCUUGGUACUACAUGUACAGGAUAGGUGGGAGGCUUUGAAACCAGGACGCCAGUUUUGGCGGAGCCAUCCUUGGGAUACCACCCUUGUAGUACUGGGACUCUAACCAUAGGCCAUGAAUCUGGUCUUGGGACACUGUCAGGUGGGCAGUUUGACUGGGGCGGUCGCCUCCCAAAAGGUAACGGAGGCGCUCAAAGGUUCUCUCAGUACGGUCGGAAAUCGUACGUAGAGUGUAAAGGCAAAAGAGAGCUUGAUUGCAAGACAUACAGGUCGAGCAA
rnacentral:rRNA from 1 species